rnacentral:rRNA from 1 species
UUCAGUGAAAUCGAGUAGGGCGGGACACGUGAUAUCCUGUCUGAAUAUGGGGGGACCAUCCUCCAAGGCUAAAUACUACUGACUGACCGAUAGUGAACCAGUACCGUGAGGGAAAGGCGAAAAGAACCCCUGUGAGGGGAGUGAAAUAGAACCUGAAACCGUGUACGUACAAGCAGUAGGAGCAGGCUUUGUCCUGUGACUGCGUACCUUUUGUAUAAUGGGUCAGCGACUUAUAUUCAGUGGCAAGGUUAACCAUCUAGGGGAGCCGUAGGGAAACCGAGUCUUAACUGGGCGUUCAGUCUCUGGAUAUAGACCCGAAACCAGGUGAUCUAGCCAUGGGCAGGUUGAAGGUUGAGUAACAUCAACUGGAGGACCGAACCGACUAAUGUUGAAAAAUUAGCGGAUGACUUGUGGCUAGGGGUGAAAGGCCAAUCAAACCUGGAGAUAGCUGGUUCUCCCCGAAAGCUAUUUAGGUAGCGCCUCGGACGAAUACUACUGGGGGUAGAGCACUGUUAAGGCUAGGGGGUCAUCCCGACUUACCAACCCUUUGCAAACUCCGAAUACCAGUAAGUACUAUCCGGGAGACACACGGCGGGUGCUAACGUCCGUCGUGGAGAGGGAAACAACCCAGACCGCCAGCUAAGGUCCCAAAUUACUACUAAGUGGGAAACGAUGUGGGAAGGCUCAGACAGCCAGGAUGUUGGCUUAGAAGCAGCCAUCAUUUAAAGAAAGCGUAAUAGCUCACUGGUCGAGUCGGCCUGCGCGGAAGAUGUAACGGGGCUAAGUAGUAAACCGAAGCUGCGGCAAUGUGCUUUUGCACAUUGGGUAGGGGAGCGUUCUGUAAGCGGUUGAAGGUGUGUGGUAACGCAUGCUGGACGUAUCAGAAGUGCGAAUGCUGACAUGAGUAACGAUAAAGGGGGUGAAAAACCUCCUCGCCGGAAGACCAAGGGUUCCUGUCCAACGUUAAUCGGGGCAGGGUAAGUCGACCCCUAAGGCGAGGCCGAAAGGCGUAGUCGAUGGGAAACGGGUUAAUAUUCCCGUACUUCUUACAAUUGCGAUGGGGGGACGGAGAAGGCUAGGUGGGCCUGGCGACGGUUGUCCAGGUUCAAGUGCGUAGGCUUAAGAGUUAGGUAAAUCCGGCUCUUUUUAAGGCUGAGACACGACGUCGAGCAUCUACGGAUGUGAAGUCAUUGAUGCCAUGCUUCCAGGAAAAGCCUCUAAGCUUCAGAUUGUAAGGAAUCGUACCCCAAACCGACACAGGUGGUCGGGUAGAGAAUACCAAGGCGCUUGAGAGAACUCGGGUGAAGGAACUAGGCAAAAUGGUACCGUAACUUCGGGAGAAGGUACGCUCUCGACGGUGAAGUCCCUCGCGGAUGGAGCUAUUGAGAGUCGCAGAUACCAGGUGGCUGCAACUGUUUAUUAAAAACACAGCACUGUGCAAAAUCGUAAGAUGACGUAUACGGUGUGACGCCUGCCCGGUGCCGGAAGGUUAAUUGAUGGGGUUAGACUUCGGUCGAAGCUCUUGAUCGAAGCCCCGGUAAACGGCGGCCGUAACUAUAACGGUCCUAAGGUAGCGAAAUUCCUUGUCGGGUAAGUUCCGACCUGCACGAAUGGCGUAAUGAUGGCCACGCUGUCUCCACCCGAGACUCAGUGAAAUUGAAAUCGCUGUGAAGAUGCAGUGUACCCGCGGCUAGACGGAAAGACCCCGUGAACCUUUACUACAGCUUGGCACUGAACAUUGACCCUACAUGUGUAGGAUAGGUGGGAGGCUUUGAAGCACGUACGCCAGUAUGUGUGGAGCCGUCCUUGAAAUACCACCCUUGUAGUGUUGAUGUUCUAACGUCGACCCCUUAUCGGGGUUGCGGACAGUGCCUGGUGGGUAGUUUGACUGGGGCGGUCUCCUCCCAAAGAGUAACGGAGGAGCACGAAGGUGGGCUAAUCACGGUUGGACAUCGUGAGGUUAGUGCAAUGGCAUAAGCCCGCUUGACUGCGAGAAUGACAAUUCGAGCAGGUGCGAAAGCAGGUCAUAGUGAUCCGGUGGUUCUGAAUGGAAGGGCCAUCGCUCAACGGAUAAAAGGUACUCCGGGGAUAACAGGCUGAUACCGCCCAAGAGUUCAUAUCGACGGCGGUGUUUGGCACCUCGAUGUCGGCUCAUCACAUCCUGGGGCUGAAGUCGGUCCCAAGGGUAUGGCUGUUCGCCAUUUAAAGUGGUACGCGAGCUGGGUUUAGAACGUCGUGAGACAGUUCGGUCCCUAUCUGCCGUGGGCGUUGGAAGAUUGAAGGGGGCUGCUCCUAGUACGAGAGGACCGGAGUGGACGAACCUCUGGUGUUCGGGUUGUGUCGCCAGACGCAUUGCCCGGUAGCUAAGUUCGGAAUCGAUAACCGCUGAAAGCAUCUAAGCGGGAAGCGAGCCCUGAGAUGAGUCUUCCCUGAUACUUUAAGUAUCCUAAAGGGUUGUCGGAGACUACGACGUUGAUAGGUCAGGUGUGUAAGUGCUGUGAGGCAUUGAGCUAACUGAUACUAAUUGCCCGUGAGGCUUAACCAUACAACACCCAAGGGGUUU